UGGCUCUGGAAGGAAUUGCUGACAUUUCUUUCUCUCCUCCUUUCCUCUCACAGCACAAUACAGCUCUUGCUUUUCUCUUUCACUGUGGUUCUCAAGUCCUCUGCUGGGGGCUGUGAAAUGCCUUCUGCUGGUACCCUGUGAACUUACCCAACCCAAUCCUCCUGCUCACCGACCCACUCAUCUGCUCCAGCACAGCCAUCCUAGCAGACCUUUGGUGACUUUCAUUCUGUAGCAUGUUUCCUCUGUGUAGUCUGAGAGCCCAGCUGCUCUAUGCGUGUACCUGUUGCAGAAAUCAGCGUGUGCCUGCUUGAGGUGCCAGGCAGCUCGUGACAGAUGUCAAGUCCAAGUAAAGCUCUUGGUGGGGACCAAGUGUGGUAAUAAAGCUGCACAACGCUAUUGAUUCAGCUGAAACUGCAAUAGCCUUUUCACCCAGCUUAGAAGUAAAACAAAGAUCUGGCAGCUCUGGAGAAGCAAUCAUCCUUUGAAACAGUCCAGGGAUAAAAGGUAGAUUAAAUCUAGUAGGCAAAACGAUGGCAAUUUUUCCUCUACCUUAUUAGCCCUGGUCAAACCCCAGAGAGCAGUGUAUUUAGAGAGUGCUCCUUUAAAGACAGGGGGAAAAGGCAAGUGCUACAUUUCAUCUGGUAAAUGAUUUCUGGAGUUGCAUUCCUGUGCAUUCAUGCACAAAUUGAGAGCGCUGCUGAGCCUCAAAUAUCCGCAGGCCUAAUGGUGAGAUCCAAGACAACGUGUGACAAAUGGCAACGCGUACCCUCCAGCACCGGGAACGCCAAUGAUGGAAACGCAGCCACAUGCUGCAGUGUUUCAUCUCACUUUGGGCUGACAGGCGAGCGAUGUGAGCAAUGCAAGUCCCAAGUGUUUGUGUGCUGCCGGCUGCUGCACAGCCUUGGGGUGCGGAAUGUUCCCGUCAGCCUUUCCCAUCGCUGUCCUGCUGAGCGACUGCUGCUGUGGAGCCAUGGAUGCCCACUGCAGGCAGAGGUGACUCACCUGGGGGAUGUGAGGCAUCUUGUGCUGCCGUGUGGCAGCCGCUGAGCAGAAGUGCUGCAGCAUACAGCAGCAGACAGGAACUCUAAUCCCAGUGCUCUGCACACUUUGAUGCAGGGCCGCAGCCCCUGCUCAGUGCACUGGAAAUUACCUCGGACAAAGUGAUUCCUCUCCAGCCUUUCCUGCAUGCAUGCAUGUCAACUUUACCUGCACCGUGCACAACCCAAUAGCUCACAGAGGUCUGUGAAAGCACAUGCAGCAUUUCACAGAAUCAUAGGAUUGUUUGAGUGGGAAGAGACUCUUAAAGGACACCUAGUCCAACACCCCUGCAACGAGCAGGGACACCUGCAGCUCAGUCAGGUGCUCAGCAUCCUGUCCAGCCUGACCUUCAGUGUCUCCAGGGGCGAGCUUCCACCACCUCUCUGGGCACCCUCCUCCAAUGUCCCUUAAUGUAAAAAAAUGCCUUCUUUCCUAAUAUCCAAUCUGAAACUCUUUUAGUUUGAAACCACUUCCCCUUGUCCUUUUACAGCAGUCCCUGCUAAAAAGUCUGUCCCUUUCCUUCCUAUAGCCCCCCUCUAUAUACCGAAAGGUUGCUACCAGGUCUUCCCAGAGCAUUCUCUUCUCCAGGCUGAACAGCCCCAGACAGCCCCCAGGUGCUGAUGGGUGAACUAAGGCCUGGUGGGUUUAACUGCACUGGGAGAGGAAAAAGCACCACCUACUGCGCAACUGCACUGAAGGCUCUGCUGUCACUCUUACGCAGUUUCUGGUACAACACAGUCCUGACCCAACUAUCCGGAUGAAUGAGCCGAUGCUAAGGAGCUGCUUGCUGGCCCGAGUGCACUUUCUUUUUGGCCAGCACUGCCUGUAACGAAGAAAUACUGGAAAUGAUGUGGAUGGGGAUAUCACCGAGUCAGCUUCUCACAGAACAAGGAAAAAACGUAACUGGUUGCCUGCCCCUACCUGAGUGCGCUCCACUGGGAGAAACAGACAUUUCAGAACUCCCCGCAUGUCCUCCUUGCUGUAUUUUGGGAUCAGUGUUCAUGGAAAAAAAAAAAAAAAAAAAAAAAUCCUUGCUGUUCUC